GCUGAUUAUGAUUGAUUAGCUUCAUAUUAUUGAGGGUGGUAUCUCUCCGUAGUAUGGCCAUGUUAUAUCCCGAAUUUGAGACGUGAGAAAGAUUUCAUUAAAUUUGCUAUUGAGAAAUCUAGUAUAAAUGAGAAGAGUCUAUGUCAAUACCGAUGAUGUAUAAAUUAUUCUUCUCUCGAUCCACAAAUUAUUGAAGAACAUUUAGUAUAGAACCAUUUAUUUGAAGGGUGUUAAUGUGGCUUGAAUUUUGGAUAUUUUUUAUGGGCUCGAACUAUGAUCCGAUCCGAAAAGCCCGCGUUGCCACCUGAAUGGAACUUUUUGAGAGGUCUGUGGUGGUAGUGGAGGGCAUGGG
rnacentral:lncRNA from 1 species